UUUUUUAUUGAGGAUAAUGCAGGCGCUUCAAAACAACCUGGAGGGAAAAUCUAAACAGUACAAAGAUCCUGCAUUGACACACUUGUUCUUGAUGAACAACAUUCAUUACAUGGUUAGAUCUGUGCGUAGGUGGGUUCAGUUUCGCGUUUGAAUACUGAUCAGGGUUUAUAAAAACGCAUUCAGUUGGUUUUAUUGAUAUCAUAAAAUGUUUUCAGAUCAGAAGCUAAGGAUUUGUUAGGCGAUGAUUGGGUUCAAAGGCAUAGGCGUGUCGUUGAGCAACAUGCAAACCUAUACAAAAGAACUGCUUGGACAAAGAUAUUACAAACCUCGUCGGCGCAAGGGUUGACCUCAUCCGGAGGAGGAGGUGUCGAGGGAGGAAACAGCAGCGGAGUUUCAAGAGGGUUAUUGAAAGAGAGGUAAGCCUUCAAUAUAUAUAUUAGUUAUCAAAAACAAUAUUUAUGUACUUGAUAAUGAUCAAUUUAAAAAAAAUUGAAAAAAAUGGAACAGGUCAAGAUGUUCAAUAUGCAAUUUGAUGAGUUGCAUCAGAGACAAUCACAAUGGACAGUUCCAGACACAGAGCUAAGAGAGUCACUAAGACUUGCUGUUGCUGAAGUAUUAUUGCCUGCUUACAGAUCAUUCCUCAAACGCUUUGGGCCUCUGGUUGAGAGUGGGAAGAAUUCUCAGAGAUACAUAAUGUAUAAGGAAAGUCUACGAACGAACCACACGGUAGAGAAAAGACAACAACCAAAGCUCAUUGUGUAAGGUAAAUUUCUUUCAAACUAUUUUUCUUUUGUUUUAUUAGUUCCCAUUGUAUAUGGAGUGAACUAUUCAUGUUUGUUUGUAUUUUUCUUAGUGAUGAGUGUGUAAACGAGUUGUUUCUCUUUUGUAUAACGUUCACGUUUUGAAAUAAGCAUGGCCUAUUAGUUUCUUGUAUUUGAUAAAAAAAAUGUUGUCACCAAACAGUAAACCACCUUUCAAAUUGCCCAUAAGGCGUCUGGCGAUAACUACUGGUACAAAUUUGGUCUUGGGUCAUACCAAAAAAAACAUAAAGAAUUAGGAUACUAAUGCGAAGACCCUAAUAUCUAUAUAUAAUAGCAAACCAAGUUUUGCUGACUAAUGAUGUUAUCUUUUUGUUAUAGGAAAAAAAAACUUUUAAUCCAACGGUUAGAUUUAUUUGUUUUUAUCAUCUAACGGAUGUAAAGAUGUUUUACUCUAAGUGACGUCACUUAAAUAACUGUCAUAUUUGGUGUCUUUUUACGAAGAGUCUCCUCUCAAACAAUACAACCCUUAAAUUAUGUCUCUUUGAUAUCUAUAUAUCAACGUUAUCCAUCUUUUGCACCCAUCCUUCUGUCCAUUUUCCAUAUAUCUUCUCUUUGAUGCCUUCUUGCCUAUGCCUGAGUAGAAGUUUCUAGCCUAUGUUUGAGUAUUUCUUUUUCAUUUUAAUGAGUGUAUUUAAAUAAUAUGUCGUGUAAUUUUUGUUGUCAUGUCCUUUUCGUACUAUGUUUUUUUGCGUACUAUGUUUUUGGAAUGACAGAACAGAGUCUUUAGUAAAUUUCUCAUCCCAAAAAAUAAUGCCAGUAAAACAUUAUGUUCACUCUAUUAAUUCUCAAUAAAUAAAUAUCUGGGUUUCCAAUA